rnacentral:rRNA from 1 species
AACGAACGCUGGCGGCAUGCCUAACACAUGCAAGUCGAACGAGACCUUCGGGUCUAGUGGCGCACGGGUGCGUAACGCGUGGGAACCUGCCCUUAGGUUCGGAAUAACUCCCCGAAAGGGGUGCUAAUACCGGAUAAUGUCUUCGGACCAAAGAUUUAUCGCCUUUGGAUGGGCCUGCGUUGGAUUAGCUAGUUGGUAGGGUAAAAGCCUACCAAGGCGACGAUCCAUAGCUGGUCUGAGAGGAUGAUCAGCCACACUGGGACUGAGACACGGCCCAGACUCCUACGGGAGGCAGCAGUGGGGAAUAUUGGACAAUGGGCGAAAGCCUGAUCCAGCAAUGCUGCGUGAGUGAUGAAGGCCUUAGGGUUGUAAAGCUCUUUUACCCGGGAUGAUAAUGACAGUACCGGGAGAAUAAGCUCCGGCUAACUCCGUG